CAAUAGCGUAUAUUAAAGUUGUUGCAGUUAAAAAGCUCGUAGUUGGACUUGUGGCGUACGGUGUGUUCCGGGCACUUGUUGUCUGAGUAACCUGCUGUUGCCAUCCUUGGGUGGAACCUGUGUGGCAUUAGGUUGUCGUGCAGGGGAUGCCCAUCAUUUACUGUGAAAAAAUUAGAGUGUUCAAAGCAGGCUUAUGCCGUUGAAUAUAUUAGCAUGGAAUAAUGAGAUAGGACUUUUUUGCUAUUUUGUUGGUUUGCGCAAAGAGGUAAUGAUUAAUAGGGACAGUUGGGGGUAUUCGUAUUCCAUUGUCAGAGGUGAAAUUCUUGGAUUUUUGGAAGACGAACUACUGCGAAAGCAUUUACCAAGGAUGUUUUCAUUAA
rnacentral:rRNA from 1 species